GUACUGCUGAAGAGUCCCAAACCGGGACGAAAUAGCAGCUAUCCAGUAC
rnacentral:hammerhead_ribozyme from 1 species